AAGGGUAUAGCUUAGUGGUCGAGUGCCUGCUUAGCACGCACAAGGUCCUGGGUUCAAUCCCCAGUACCUCCA
rnacentral:tRNA from 1 species